GCUUACGGCCAUACCAACCUGAACACGCCCGAUCUCGGAAGCUAAGCAGGGUCGGGCAUGGUUAGUACUUGGAUGGGAGACCGCCUGGGAUUACCCGGUGCUCUGAGUU
ensembl:rRNA 5S_rRNA 5S ribosomal RNA